rnacentral:rRNA from 1 species
CCGAACGCGACCUCAGAUCAGACGAG